rnacentral:tRNA from 1 species
GGGAGCAUGGCUUAAGUGGUAAAGCACUUGUCUGGCAAGCUUAAAGUCCUGAAUUCAAUCUUCAAUACUUCUG